rnacentral:rRNA from 1 species
GUGGGGAAUCUUCCGCAAUGGACGAAAGUCUGACGGAGCAACGCCGCGUGAGUGAUGAAGGUCUUCGGAUUGUAAAGCUCUGUUAAUCGGGACGAAAGAGCCUAGUGUGAAUAAUGCUAGGAAGUGACGGUACCGGAAUAGAAAGCCACGGCUAACUACGUGCCAGCAGCCGCGGUAAUACGUAGGUGGCAAGCGUUGUCCGGAAUUAUUGGGCGUAAAGCGCGCGCAGGCGGAUCUGUCAGUCUGUCUUAAAAGUUCGGGGCUUAACCCCGUGAUGGGAUGGAAACUACAGAUCUAGAGUAUCGGAGAGGAAAGUGGAAUUCCUAGUGUAGCGGUGAAAUGCGUAGAUAUUAGGAAGAACACCAGUGGCGAAGGCGACUUUCUGGACGAAAACUGACGCUGAGGCGCGAAAGCCAGGGGAGCGAACGGGAUUAGAUACCCGGGUAGUCC